UAGGCUGAAGUGCAGUGGUGUGAUCUGAGCUCACUACAGCCUUGACCUCCUGGACUCAAAUGAUUGUCCCACCUCUGCCUCCCAAGUAGCUGGAACUACAGGCAUACACCGCUGUGCCCAGGCUUGAAGGAGUUAUUGUGAUUAUCACACCUGGAAUGAAGGCACCAUGCAGCAGCUAAGUGGAACGAGACUGCAGAACUACAGUGGGCACAAUACA